CCCGGGAUAGAGCAGAGGCAGCUCGCCACCCUCAUGCGGUGGAGGUCGUAGGUUCGAAUCCUGCUCCCGGAA
rnacentral:tRNA from 1 species